AACGAACGCUGGCGGCGUGCCUAACACAUGCAAGUCGAGCGCGAAUGGAGCAAUCCUAGUAGAGCGGCGCACGGGUGCGUAACACGUGGGUAAUCUGCCUCGAAGAUCGGAAUAACCUGCCGAAAGGCUGGCUAAUGCCGGAUAAGCCUACGAGCUCUUCGGAGCUUGAAGGAAAAGGUGGCCUCUGUAUACAAGCUAUCACUUUGAGAUGAGCCCGCGGCCCAUCAGCUAGUUGGCGGGGUAACGGCCCACCAAGGCAACGACGGGUAGCUGGUCUGAGAGGACGAUCAGCCACACUGGAACUGAGACACGGUCCAGACUCC
rnacentral:rRNA from 1 species